rnacentral:tRNA from 1 species
GGAACGGUGGCAGAGCGGACAAAUGCACCCGCCUUGAAAGCGGGAGGCCCGCAAGGGCCCGGGGGUUCGAAUCCCUCCCGUUCCG